UACAGAGGGUGCAAGCGUUAAUCGGAGUUACUGGGCGUAAAGGGCGCGUAGGCGGAUAUUUAAGUCGGAUGUGAAAUCCCUGGGCUUAACCUAGGAAUUGCAUUCGAUACUGAGUACUCUUGAGUAUGGUAGAGGAAAGUGGAAUUCUCGGUGUAGUGGUAAAAUACGUAGAUAUCGAGAAGAACACCGGUGGCGAAGGCGGCUUUCUGGACCAAUACUGACGCUGAGGCGCGAAAGCGUGGGGAGCAAA
rnacentral:rRNA from 1 species